rnacentral:rRNA from 1 species
GUAGGUGGCAAGCGUUGUCCGGAUUUACUGGGCGUAAAGGAUGCGUAGGCGGAUAUUUAAGUGAGAUGUGAAAUUCCCGGGGCUUAACCUGGGAGCUGCAUUUCAAACUGGAUAUCUAGAGUGCGGGAGAGGAGAAUGGAAUUCCUAGUGUAGCGGUGAAAUGCGUAGAGAUUAGGAAGAACACCAGUGGCGAAGGCGAUUCUCUGGACCGUAACUGACGCUGAGGCAUAAAAGCGUGGGUAGCAAACAGGAUUAGAUACCCUGGUAGUCCACGCCGUAAACGAUGAGUACUAGGUGUAGGAGGGUCCAACCUUCUGUGCCGCAGUUAACACAAUAAGUACUCCGCCUGGGAAGUACGAUCGCAAGAUUA